GUAGAUGUCACUCAGUGAUAGAGCACUUGUCUAGCAUGCGAGAAGCUCUGGGUUCAAACUCCAGCAUCUCCG
rnacentral:tRNA from 1 species